GGUGUGCUUAUUACAUGCAAGUCGAGCGAAAACCGGUUUCGGCCGGUGAAAGCGGCGGACGGGUGAGUAAUGUAUAAAUAACCUGCCCUCAAGAGGGGGAUAACAGUCCGAAAGGGCUGCUAAUACCGCAUAUAAUUAUUUAGACUCUUGUUUAAAUAAUGAAAGUGGGGGAUCUUCGGACCUCACACUUGAGGAGGGGUUUAUAUCCUAUUAGUUAGUUGGUAGGGUAAAGGCCUACCAAGACAAUUAUGGGUAGCCGGCCUGAGAGGGUGAUCGGCCACACGGGCACUGACACACGGUCCAGACUCCUACGGGAGGCAGCAGUGAGGAAUUUUGCGCAAUGGGGGAAACCCUGACGCAGCAACGCCGCGUGGGUGAUGAAGGCCUUCGGGUCGUAAAACUCUGUCAAGUGGGAAGAAACUAUAUAAGGCCAAUACCCUUAUGUACUGACGGUACCACUGAAGGAAGCACCGGCUAACUCCGUGCCAGCAGCCGCGGUAAUACGGGGGGUGCAAGCGUUAUUCGGAAUUAUUGGGCGUAAAGGGCGCGUAGGCGGCCUUAUCAGUCAGAUGUGAAAGCCCUGGGCUUAACCCAGGAAGUGCAUUUGAUACUGUAAGACUUGAGUAUGGGAGAGGGAAGUGGAAUUCCUGGUGUAGAGGUGAAAUUCGUAGAUAUCAGGAGGAACACCGGUGGCGAAGGCGACUUCCUGGACCAAUACUGACGCUGAGGCGCGAAGGCGUGGGGAGCAAACAGGAUUAGAUACCCUGGUAGUCCACGCAGUAAACGGUGAGAACUAGGUGUAGCGGGUAUUGACCCCUGCUGUGCCGCAGUUAACGCAUUAAGUUCUCCGCCUGGGGAGUACGAUCGCAAGAUUAAAACUCAAAGGAAUUGACGGGGGCCCGCACAAGCGGUGGAGCAUGUGGUCUAAUUCGACGCAACGCGAAGAACCUUACCUGGAUUUGACAUCUCGGGAAUCCCUUGGUAACUUGGGAGUGCCCUUCGGGGAACCUGAAGACAGGUGCUGCAUGGCUGUCGUCAGCUCGUGUCGUGAGAUGUUGGGUUAAGUCCCGCAACGAGCGCAACCCUUAUCUUUAGUUACCAGCAUUUCGGAUGGGGACUCUAGAGAUACUGCCCCGGUUAACGGGGAGGAAGGUGGGGAUGACGUCAAGUCCUCAUGGCCUUUAUAUCCAGGGCUACACACGUGCUACAAUGGUCGGUACAAAGGGUCGCCAACCUGCGAAGGUGAGCUAAUCCCAGAAAGCCGACCCAAGUUCGGAUUGGAGUCUGCAACUCGACUCCAUGAAGCUGGAAUCGCUAGUAAUCGUGGAUCAGCAUGCCACGGUGAAUACGUUCCCGGGCCUUGUACACACCGCCCGUCACACCAUGAGAGUUGAUUGUACCGGAAGUUGUCAGGCCAACCUUUCGAGGAGGCAGGCACCUAUGGUAUGAUUGAUGAUUGGGGUGAAGUCGUAACAAGGUA
rnacentral:rRNA from 1 species